GACGAACGCUGGCGGCGUGCUUAACACAUGCAAGUCGAGCGGUAAGGCCCUUCGGUGUACACGAGCCGCGAACGGGAGAGUAACACGUGAGUAAUCUGCCUAUCACUUCGGGAUAACUCCGUGAAACCGGUGCUAAUACCGCAUAUGACCACUUCAGGCAUCUGAUGGUGGUGGAAAGUCCAGGCGGUGAUGGAUGAGCUCGCGGCCUAUCAGCUUGUUGGUGGGGUAGUGGCCUACCAAGGCGUCGACGGGUAGCCGGCCUGAGAGGGUGACCGGCCACACUGGGCCUGGGACACGGCCCAGACUCCAACGGGAGGCAGCAGUGGGGAAUGUUGGACAGUGGGCGGAAGCCUGAUCCAGCAACGCCGCGUGGGGGAUGACGGCCUUCGGGUUGUAAACCUCUUUCAGCAGGGACGAAGCGCAAGUGACGGUACCUGCAGAAGAAGCACCGGCCAACUACGUG
rnacentral:rRNA from 1 species